rnacentral:lncRNA from 10 species
GAAUUUUGUAAAAAAAGUACUUAAUAUACCUAGUAAAGUUUUAUAUGCCAAGUUUGUAUUUUAAUAAUAUUUUUAUUUUAAUAAAUAUCAGGAAGAAAUAAACAUAAAACAUAGGAAGUGCAUGUUCAGGUUAUCUAUUGUCAUAUUACAAACCACCUGAAAACUCAGUCGUAUAAAACAACAAUUAUUUUUAAAUUUUUGAACAGCUUUAUAUAUAAUUGACAUAUAAUAAACUGCACAUUUUAAAGUGCACACUUUGAUAAGCAUACAUAGGUACACACCUGUGAAACCAUCGCCAAAAUCAAGAUCAUGACCGUAUCCACAAAUUUCAUGAUUCUGUAGGUCAAGGAUUAGAGCAGCCAUAAGCAGAGAGUUUGUCCCUGAUACACGAUGUUUUUGGCCACAGCUGUAGUUGUUUGGAUAGCUGGGGGCUCCUGGGAUGGCUAGAGUGGGAUCAUAUGCCUGGAGUCUUCAUUCUUCUCCAUUGGAUGUUUGCUGGGAUGAGAAGGUCCAAGAUAGUCCUUUGAUAAUGUGUCGUGGUGCCUGGGCUGGGAUGGCUGAAACACAGGAGACCUAGCAGAAAUUCUCUAUACUCACCGCCAUCUCCGGAUAGUCAGACUUCUCACUCGGCAGCUGGCUUCCCCCAGGUCCGAAGUUCAAGAGACUUUCAAAAGACAGGAAGUGAAAGCUGCCAGUCUCUUUCAGCCUGAGCCCGAGACACUGGCACAGUUUUACUUCCACUAUGCUUUAUUGGUCAAAGCAGUCUCUGAGCCCACCCAGAUUCUGGGAAAGAAGGACAUUGACACCACCUCUUGAUGAGAUAAUGUCAAAGAAUUUUGACCAUCUUUAAAGCACCACAACGCAUGUUGGAUAUUCUAUAUUCCUGAGUGAAAGAAGACUUCAAUUUGGUCACAUGAACAAACUAUUUCUGUGUUUUACAAGGGCAAUAGUAGGGAAAGGAGGUGGUAGUAAUAUCAGAAUUUCCAUCAACUCUUCUGUCUUCGUUGCUGUUUAUCAAGUAAUGUUCUUCAAACAAACUGGAGUUGCUAUGCCUUGAUAUGGUAUAAAUGAGUGUGUUUUGGAUACAAAUACACAUGGUAAAGG